rnacentral:rRNA from 1 species
AGUGAACGCUGGCGGUAGGCCUAACACAUGCAAGUCGAACGGCAGCACAGUAAGAGCUUGCUCUUACGGGUGGCGAGUGGCGGACGGGUGAGGAAUACAUCGGAAUCUACUUUUUCGUGGGGGAUAACGUAGGGAAACUUACGCUAAUACCGCAUACGACCUACGGGUGAAAGCAGCGGAUCUUCGGACCUUGCGCGAUUGAAUGAGCCGAUGUCGGAGUAGCUAGUUGGCGGGGUAAAGGCCCACCAAGGCGACGAUCCGUAGCUGGUCUGAGAGGAUGAUCAGCCACACUGGAACUGAGACACGGUCCAGACUCCUACGGGAGGCAGCAGUGGGGAAUAUUGGACAAUGGGCGCAAGCCUGAUCCAGCCAUACCGCGUGGGUGAAGAAGGCCUUCGGGUUGUAAAGCCCUUUUGUUGGGAAAGAAAAGCAGCAGGUUAAUACCCCGCUGUUCUGACGGUACCCAAAGAAUAAGCACCGGCUAACUUCGU